UACGUAGGGCGCAAGCGUUGUCCGGAAUUAUUGGGCGUAAAGAGCUCGUAGGCGGCUUGUCGCGUCGGAUGUGAAAGCCCGGGGCUUAACUCCGGGUCUGCAUUCGAUACGGGCAGGCUAGAGUGUGGUAGGGGAGAUCGGAAUUCCUGGUGUAGCGGUGAAAUGCGCAGAUAUCAGGAGGAACACCGGUGGCGAAGGCGGAUCUCUGGGCCUUACCUGACGCUGAGGCGCGAAAGCUAGGGGAGCAAACAGG
rnacentral:rRNA from 1 species